GGGGAAUAUUGCACAAUGGGCGCAAGCCUGAUGCAGCGACGCCGCGUGAGGGAUGACGGCUUUCGGGUUGUAAACCUCUUUUACUAUCGAACAAGGCACAGUCUUUUGUUGUGUUGAGGGUAGGUGGUGAAUAAGCGCCGGCUAACUACGUGCCAGCAGCCGCGGUAAUACGUAGGGCGCGAGCGUUGUCCGGAAUUAUUGGGCGUAAAGAGCUCGUAGGCGGCUUGUCGCGUCUGCGGUGAAAUCCCAGGGCUUAACUCUGGGCGUGCAGUGGGUACGGGCAGGCUAGAGUGCGGUAGGGGUGAUUGGAAUUCCUGGUGUAGCGGUGGAAUGCGCAGAUAUCAGGAGGAACACCGAUGGCGAAGGCAGGUCACUGGGCCGUUACUGACGCUGAGGAGCGAAAGCAUGGGGAGCGAAC
rnacentral:rRNA from 1 species